AUUGAACGCUGGCGGCAUGCCUAACACAUGCAAGUCGAACGGCAGCACGGUCUGGUUUACCAGAUGGGUGGCGAGUGGCGAACGGGUGAGUAAAGCGUAGGAAUAUACCUUAAAGAGGGGGAUAACCUGGGGAAACUCAGGCUAAUACCGCGUAAACUCUGCGGAGCAAAGCUGGGGACCGAAAGGCCUGGCGCUUUAAGAAUAGCCUGCGUCCGAUUAGCUAGUUGGUGGGGUAAAGGCUCACCAAGGCGACGAUCGGUAGCUGGUCUGAGAGGACGAACAGCCACACUGGGACUGAGACACGGCCCAGACUCCUACGGGAGGCAGCAGUGGGGAAUAUUGGACAAUGGGCGCAAGCCUGAUCCAGCCAUGCCGCGUGUCUGAAGAAGGCCUCGGUUGUAAGGACUUUGUUCAGGAGCAAACUAACUAGGUUAAUACCUGGUGAGGUUGAGAGUACUGAAGAAUAAGANACCGG
rnacentral:rRNA from 1 species